UCACAGUAACACUUUCAGUUUAGCCUCUGAGAAGCCUUUUAAAUAUGUGAGACUGAAAGUGAUAGAGAGGGAGAGAGAGAGAGAGAGGGUGGGAGGGGGUGGUGGUGAUGGUGGUGGGUAGGUGGGAGGGGGUUCCUCUGGUGUUCUUUACCUGACUACAUAUCUGGGAAUCAGGGAUGGAUUCAUGCUGUUUCAAUUCAACUAAACUGGGGUCACAUUUCAGGAAACGUACGCUGAAUAUAUUUUUACAUGACAAACGGAUCACAUUUAUGAUGCUGGACUACAUCAAGCUUGCCUACAGCACAGAGAAAGUACUACACCUGGGGUCAACCUUUAUUAUCCAGAGAGACACCCCCACCCCCACCCCCCGCCCAAAAAAAGAGAAAAAUCUGUGUGGAGCUGCAAAUCACACACUUUUCUUUCUUUGGAGUUGGAAUCCAGAGCCAAUGAGACUCAAGACUUGGAGCGACCGCUCUUAAAAUACAUAGGAAACAGCCCCAGACAUUGCAGAUCCGGCAUGUUUCUACGGUAGCUCAGAAGGGACAAACACUGGCUCUAGAUAGCGGGCGUUCACUGCCACCAUAGUUUCUCCUUUUACACUUGGAAGUUGAGGGUGAAGCGACAGAGUUGCAGUCUACAACUACACUACUAGAUGUCACUAAAACCUACAACCCGGACCUUUAACUCCCACCUACACAAAGAGCAGAUAUUCAGCUCAGGCUAACCUGCAGCCACCAUCACAGUUUAUUUAGUUCCUCUACUCUCACCAAUAGUCACUACUUAAUGGAAGGGAUUAAGGAAAGGUUAGAAAUUGUUCACUGGUCCUUUAAAUGUACUGUAGCAGUGGUAAAAUGUAUGUUAGAGUAUCAAAAGCAGAAAUAGUCAUUAGGCAGACUGCCCCCUGGCCCUGUCAGUGCUGCAUCCUACGUCAUAUCUGAUUAUUAUUGCUGCAUUAAAACUACCUUCAGGUUGUGGGUAAACCAAUAGCACGGGAUCAACUUCAUCUGUGUUACCUGAUCCACUUCAAUGUCCACUUCAACAGUACGACAACUGAACACCAUUAACUGAAAGUGAUCACCUCACUACCUUACAUCAUAUCAGUCAGUCAAUCCUAAUCAUCAGUCACAUUACAGGCAGCAUGCACCAUAUUAUGAAGUUCCUCAUCUAGGUUACACAACAGAAUACACAUUUAUUUUUGCAUUAACCAUUAAUUAACCUGUAAUGUAACUUGUUUGCAUGUAGAUUAUUUCAAUAAACCUGAAAAAAAUAACGCACAAAAUAAAACUUGACAGAAAUAAAUCUCAUUUUACACCAGUAAGCAGCAUUUUAACUAUGGGGUUGGUCACUGUGUUGCUAAUGUUAACUUCUGUAUAUACUGUCUGUGUUAAUAGUGUAAAAUCUUAAUCUGAAAAGUAACCAGCAACUAUAGCUGUCAGAAACAUGCAGUGGAGAAUAAAUUACAAUAUUUCCCUCUGAAAAGUAGUGUAGACAAAGUAAAGUCAACAUUGCACAUCAAAAUAUGUCUGUGUGAUCAUGAUUAGUAGUUUAAACAAAAAAAGAGGGUGUUUUAAAUCUCUUUAUGCUCAUUAGAUGGGUAUAGUAAAGUGGAAAGUGAAAUUCCAAAUGGAGAAGUACUUUUUUUAUUAUCAUCAUAUUCCUUGAUUUCAAAAUCAACGUGUGAGAACGCGCUUCACUUGAUUUAAGCUAAAUCAAAGUGAGGGCAUUAUUGGUCCGUCCAGAACUCUCACUGUCAUCAGUCUUUGUUCUGGCUCCAAUGCAAACAUAGACUUGUUUGUUUCAUUAAAUUGAAUUGCAUGCAGUUGGAAAAUGCAAACCUUGUAACAUAGAUGCUGAAUUUGCUGUCCCCAUCAGCUGACUCAUUUCCCUUGAAUCUUCCUGAAUGGUGCUGAGGGAAUCUGUUCUCUUGACCCUGAGUAAGAUCUGCUGCAAAGGGCCUGCCCGAAAUUCUGAUAUGUAAUCAAAAACAGAAAAAGAACUUCGGUAAAUGCAAAUUAAUUGCACGCAGGCUUAACUUAAGAGUGUAGAAAAUAGCAAUACAGACCUAGCUGUACUUCCUCAGUAAAUAAAAAGAAGUGCUUGUAGGGGAACGCCAGAGAGAAAAACAAUAACAACCAAGGGUGCAACAUCUGACCAAAUGUAGAAAAUCUUCCUUGUUCUUUGUAACAAAACAAAUCAAGGUCACACAGGGGAACUUUUCAUCAAAAAGUGAAAACAGUGAGAGAUAAUAGUGCAUCCCUGAUUCAUGAGACACUUUUACAGACACAAUUUAGCAAUUUUUGUUCUUUUAACUGGAUGUGUUUGUUAUACCAUUUGCGCCAUAGUUCAAGAUCAAAAUCCAUAUAGAAACUAAAUUUAUACAUCAAAACAAAUGUAAAAAUAAGGUAACUGUCAGAUAGCAUCAGGCUGCAAUAUAUACUUGACCUUUAAGGCACUUAUUCUAAAUGAGUAAUAAAAUGUCUUUAAUUGUAAAACCCAUGUAAAUUAGCUCAGUUAUAAACGACACAACAAAAGCAGUAGUAUUACUGCAGAUAAAAGCAACAGUCCCCUGCUGCAAUGAAAGCUGGAUUGCAUUUAUUAUUUUAAUCAAUUAAAAAUGGCCACAUUGCAAUUCAGAGGCAAAACCUUGAUAUGAAAAUAACUCUUUGUUAAUUAUUCUAAUUGCAAUGUGUUUAUAUUCAGAAUACAUUAAAGAGGUUGUUCUCGAUGAAACCCAGAAAUUUAAAAAAUCACAAAGUAACAACUUUUACUUUAAUUGUUUAAUUAAUUGAUUCCGAUCAUCAUUUACAUCAGCAGUUACUUUGAUACACAUUAUUCCUGUUUGAGGAGAAUACUGAAGUUGGUACAAAGCAUAACGGCGCCACCUUGUGGACAACAGGCACUGUCACACAGUUCAACAUGCAUCAUUGCUGCAACAGAU
rnacentral:lncRNA from 15 species